rnacentral:rRNA from 1 species
UACAGAGGUCUCAAGCGUUGUUCGGAUUCAUUGGGCGUAAAGGGUGCGUAGGUGGCGCGGUAAGUCGGGUGUGAAAUCUCGGAGCUUAACUCCGAAAUUGCAUUCGAUACUGCCGUGCUCGAGGACUGGAGAGGAGACUGGAAUUCGAUGGUGUAGCAGUGAAAUGCGUAGAGAUCAUGAAGAAGACCAGUGGCGAAGGCGGGUCUCUGGACAGUUCCUGACACUGAGGCACGAAGGCCAGGGGAGCAAACGGG